rnacentral:rRNA from 1 species
GAUGAACGCUGGCGGCGUGCCUAAUACAUGCAAGUCGAGCGAACAGACGAGGAGCUUGCUCCUCUGACGUUAGCGGCGGACGGGUGAGUAACACGUGGAUAACCUACCUAUAAGACUGGGAUAACUUCGGGAAACCGGAGCUAAUACCGGAUAAUAUAUUGAACCGCAUGGUUCAAUAGUGAAAGACGGUUUUGCUGUCACUUAUAGAUGGAUCCGCGCCGCAUUAGCUAGUUGGUAAGGUAACGGCUUACCAAGGCAACGAUGCGUAGCCGACCUGAGAGGGUGUUCGGCCCCACUGGAACUGGGACACGGUCCAGACUCCUACGGGAGGCAGCAGUAGGGAAUCUUCCGCAAUGGGCGAAAGCUUGACGGAGCAACGCCGCGUGAGUGAUGAAGGUCUUCGGAUCGUAAAACUCUGUUAUUAGGGAAGAACAAAUGUGUAAGUAACUAUGCACGUCUUGACGGUACCUAAUCAGAAAGCCACGGCUAACUACGUG